rnacentral:rRNA from 1 species
UAGGGAAUCUUCCGCAAUGGACGCAAGUCUGACGGAGCAACGCCGCGUGAGUGAAGAAGGAUUUCGGUUCUUAAAACUCUGUUGUUAGAGAAGAACAGCGCAUAGAGUAACUGUUAUGCGUGUUACGUUAUCUUACCAGAUAGCCACGGCUAACUACGUGCCAGCAGCCGCGGUAAUACGUAAGGUCCGAGCGUUGUCCUGAAUCAUUGGGCGUAAAGGGUACGUAGGCGGGUAAGCAAGUUAGAAGUGAAAUCCUGUAGCUCAACUACAGUAAGCUAUUAAAACUGCUCAGCUUGGGUUAUGUAAGGGAAAGUGGAAUUCCUAGUGUAGCGGUGAAAUGCGCAGAUAUUAGGAGGAAUACCGGUGGCGAAAGCAACAUUCUGGCAAUAAUCUGAAGCAGAGGUACGAAAGGAUGGGUGGCAAACAGG